rnacentral:rRNA from 1 species
UACGUAGGGGGCAAGCGUUAUCCGGAAUUAUUGGGCGUAAAGCGCGCGCAGGUGGUUUCUUAAGUCUGAUGUGAAAGCCCACGGCUCAACCGUGGAGGGUCAUUGGAAACUGGGAGACUUGAGUGCAGAAGAGGAAAGUGGAAUUCCAUGUGUAGCGGUGAAAUGCGUAGAGAUAUGGAGGAACACCAGUGGCGAAGGCGACUUUCUGGGCUGUAACUGACGCUGAGGCGCGAAAGCGUGGGGAGCAAACAGG